rnacentral:rRNA from 1 species
AGUUUGAUCCUGGCUCAGGACGAACGCUGGCGGCGUGCUUAACACAUGCAAGUCGAACGAAGCAACUUGGAUAGUUUACUAACUGAGUUGACUGAGUGGCGGACGGGUGAGUAACGCGUGAACAAUCUACCUAUCAGAGGGGGACAACACCUGGAAACGGGUGCUAAUACCGCAUGAGACCACACUACCGCAUGGUAGAGGGGUAAAAGAUUUAUCGCUGAUAGAUGAGUUCGCGUAUCAUUAGCUAGUUGGUGGGGUAACGGCCUACCAAGGCAACGAUGAUUAGCCGGCCUGAGAGGGUGAACGGCCACACUGGAACUGAGACACGGUCCAGACUCCUACGGGAGGCAGCAGUGGGGAAUAUUGGGCAAUGGGCGCAAGCCUGACCCAGCAACGCCGCGUGAGGGAAGAAGGUUUUCGGAUUGUAAACCUCUGUCCUUGGGGACGAAGAAAGUGACGGUACCCAAGGAGGAAGCUCCGGCUAACUACGUGCCAGCAGCCGCGGUAAUACGUAGGGAGCAAGCGUUGUCCGGAAUUACUGGGCGUAAAGGGUGCGUAGGCGGCAUAUUAAGUCAGGUGUGAAAUCCUCGGGCUCAACCCGAGACCUGCAUCUGAAACUGAUAAGCUUGAGUAUGAGAGAGGAAAGUGGAAUUCCUAGUGUAGCGGUGAAGUGCGUAGAUAUUAGGAGGAACACCAGUGGCGAAGGCGACUUUCUGGCUCAUCACUGACGCUGAGGCACGAAAGCGUGGGUAGCAAACAGGAUUAGAUACCCUGGUAGUCCACGCCGUAAACGAUGAAUACUAGGUGUGGGGGACAUAAGUCCUCUGUGCCGAAGCUAACGCAUUAAGUAUUCCGCCUGGGGAGUACAGUCGCAAGACUGAAACUCAAAGGGAAUUGACGGGGGCCCGCACAAGCAGCGGAGCAUGUGGUUUAAUUCGAAGCAACGCGAAGAACCUUACCAGGGCUUGACAUCCUCUGACAGCCAUAGAAGAUAUGGUUUCCCUUCGGGGCAGAGUGACAGGUGGUGCAUGGUUGUCGUCAGCUCGUGCCGCGGAGGGUGGUUGGGUUAAGUCCCGCAACCGAGCGCAACCCCUAUGUUUUAGUUUGCCAGCAUUUCUGGAUGGGAACUCUAGAACAGACCGCCGAGGACAACUCGGAGGAAAGGUGGGGAGCAACGCUCAAAUCAUCAUGCCCCUUAUGUCCUGGGCUACACACGUGCUACAAUGGCCGAUUACAAAAGAGCUUGCGUAACCGCGCCAAGAAGAAGCCGAAUCUCAUAAAGUCGGCCCCAGUUCGGAUCGUGGGCUGCAACCCGCCCACGUGAAGCCGGAGUUGCUAGUAAUCGCGAAUCAGCAUGUCGCGGUGAAUGCGUUCCCGGGCCUUGUACACACCGCCCGUCACACCAUGGAAGUUGGGAGCGCCCGAAGCCUGUGUGCUAACUUUUAGAGGCAGCAGUCGAAGGUGAGACUAAUGACUAGGGUGAAGUCGUAACAAGGUAACC